AAGUGGCUGUCUGAUUCAGUUCCUCCUCCUCCUCUUCCUCCUCCUCCUCAGAAAGAAUUUCACUGCCCACUUCCACCAUUCAUUGGAGAGAGAAGAGGAAUGGCUCAAAAUUAGUGUGCAAGUGCUAUUCCAACGUCGAAAGCAGAGAGUUAAGAACACUACAAAACAACGCUUUUUUAGUCACUUGACUCACUUCCUCUGUUUCUUUAAUAUCCCCUCUCUCUUCCUCUUCCUUUUCUGGGUUUUGAAGAUGUGAAGUGGCUCUCUGUUUUUUUUUUUUUUUUCUAGCGUUGGAAUUUUGGAAGGAAGGAACCUCAAAGGUUCCAGUUCCAAAUUUCUCUCAUCUGGACACUACUCAUCAAGUUUCAACAAAUCUGCUCCUCUUUGGAGGAGAAGCUUUCUCAUUGAUUGGAGAAAGUAAUUACUGCUUAAAUGGCUAAAGUUUGUUGGCCAUACUUUGAUCCUGAGUAUGAGAACUUGAGCACUAGGAUUAAUCCUCCAAGGGUAUCUGUGGACAACACUAGUUGCAGUGACAGUACUCUUAUUAAGGUUGACAGCAUGAACAAACCAGGAAUUCUCCUGGAAGUUGUGCAAAUCCUAACCGAUCUUGACCUCAUUAUCACCAAAGCUUAUAUCUCCUCAGAUGGUGGUUGGUUCAUGGACGUAUUUCAUGUCACUGACCAACAAGGAAAGAAGAUUGCGGAUCUUAAAACCAUUGACUACAUAGAGAAGGCUCUAGGACCGAAGGGCCAAGAAGAAGUGACUACUUGGUCAGGCAAACCGGUUGGAGUGCACUCUGUUGGUGAUCACACUGCCAUCGAACUCACUGGCAGGGAUCGCCCUGGUCUCUUAUCUGAAAUCUCAGCUGUCCUUGCCAAUCUUCACUUCAAUGUGGUUGCUGCUGAAGUUUGGACCCACAAUAGGCGGAUAGCAUGUGUUGUCUAUGUCAAUGAUGACACCACAUCCCGUGCUGUAGAUGACCCAACUAGAUUGUCUGCAAUGGAGGACCAGCUCAAGAACAUUCUACGUGGGUGUGAUGAUGAUGAGAAGGAGGGUCGUACUAGUUUCUCCAUGGGGUUCACUCAUGUUGACCGGAGGCUGCACCAAAUGUUGUUUGCUGAUAGGGAUUAUGAAGGUGGAAUAGUGGCAACUGAGAUUCACGAUCCUCCUUCCUUCAAGCCAAAGAUCACAGUUGAGCAUUGUGAGGAAAAAGGAUACUCCGUGGUCACUGUUAGAUGCAAAGACCGUGCCAAGUUAAUGUUUGACAUAGUGUGCACUCUCACAGAUAUGCAAUAUGUAGUUUUUCAUGCUACAAUCUCAUCUGAUGCCCCCCAUGCAUCACAGGAGUACUAUAUUCGUCAUAUGGAUGGUUGCGUGCUUGAUACUGAAGGGGAGAAGGACAGGGUUAUCAAAUGCCUUGAAGCUGCGAUUAGAAGAAGAGUGAGCGAGGGUUUGAGCCUUGAGCUCUGUGCAAAGGAUAGAGUAGGCUUGCUUUCUGAAGUCACAAGAAUUCUGCGAGAGAAUGGAUUAUCCGUUUCAAGAGCAGGUGUCAUGACAAUAGGAGAGCAGGCAAUGAAUGUUUUCUAUGUGAGAGAUGCUUCUGGGAACCCAGUGGAUAUGAAGAUUAUUGAAGCCCUUCGUAGAGAAAUCGGGCACACCAUGAUGCUUAAUGUGAAGAAACCACCGGUUAGUUCCAGAGAACCCGAAGCUAGAGGAUGGGCCAAAACAAGUUUCUUCUUUGGGAACUUGCUGGAAAGGUUCUUGGCAUGAGAACAUUUCUGUAUUGCAGUGACAGAAACAAUGAACUGUACAGGACAAUAAACCUGUUCAGUACAAAGUAUGGACAGGGCUUGAAAUAUACUUUUUGUCCAAGGAAUAAAUCUUGUAUAAUAAACAAGAGGUGUGAAAGAGGAUUAAGGAAGAACAAGCGAAGAGGGUAAUGGCGUGUUUUCUUGGUUAAAAAACAUGUGAUCCAACAGGAAUGAAGUUAAAAACACGUUUCUGUAUCGAUGUAGAACGCAAGUAAAGCCUGUAAAGAAGGAGGUCACGGUGCCUAAGCAAUGACCUGUUCAAGAUGACCUUCAAAUUGAUCUGUGCUAAUAAUUUCAUAAGCAACUCUUCAAUAUGAACUGGCAUUUGUCAAGCUGUCAGUGCUCACAGCACAUCAUCGGCGCCAUCGUUGCCGAUCUGUACUAUAUAAGAGAUAUUAAUCGGAGAAUAGUUCUCCAUGUAACUUUCUUUGAUUGAUGAAGGAUUGGCCAUCAAAAUAGAAGUGUUCUCAAGUCGUGACAGUAAAGAACCCAUGUUUGAAGACUUGGAUUUGGGGAGCCAAAAUUAUUUAUGAAGAUUUACCUUGAGGGUCAAUUUUUUUUUAAUGUAAAAAUUAUUUAAAUAUUGUUAAUAUUUUUUCUCUAGCGGCAAAAUAUUAAAUCGUACAGGGGUUUACUUGAUGUAA